rnacentral:rRNA from 1 species
AUGGAUAGCAUCAGAGAAGCUCAGAAGACUGACAAGGAGAUUGCCUCUAUAAAGGAGAAAAUGAGCGAAGGAAAGGCUAAAGGAUUUCGUGAAGAUGAGCACGACACCCUAUGGUUUGAAUACCGUGUUUAUGUGCCCAAUGACCCGGAGAUCAGGAAAUUGAUUCUGCAAGAGGCACACGAUUCACCAUAUUCGAUUCACUCAGGAAAUACCAAGAUGUAUUUGGAUUUGAAGGAUACCUUCUGGUCGACCAGAAUGAAGAAAGAUAUUGCAGAGUAUGUAGCGGUUUGUGACGUAUGUCAGAGAGUAAAGGCAGAGCAUCAGAAGCCAGCAUGA